GAAAACAACAAGUAGUUGAAGAACAUUCAAAUGUCUCAUUUGGUGGCGCAUGCAAUACACCAGUCUGUCAACCACGUAAUCCCUACUCUUAUACAGGCUUUACAAGUGCUAACUUAUGUGGUCAAUCUUACUCACCUUGGACAAUGCAUUCUCAGGUAUAUAUAUAAUGUAUAGUCAUAAUCUGAUUGCUAUACUUGAUACCUAAUUACGAGCUAUUUUCUAUUUAGGACAUGAGUUAUGUAAAUGUACCAUUUACAUCUAUGUUGCAAGGUACCGAUGUUGUAGCCCAACUUAAUCAGAAUUCAUCUACUUCCCAAAUGAGCUCAUUGAUUUAUAAUUCCAAGCAACCAGAUUACAAAUAUAGCCAAGAGGUUGUCAACCACAUAGAAAAGUUAAAGAAGUAAGACAUGGGCAAUGGCUACAAAGAACUAAGUAAGAGAGUUCAUAAGGUAUUUUUUGAAAAAGGUAGAGUUUGAGCUGGAGUUGGGACUGGAAGAGCUAGAACAUGAGAUAUAUGAUGUGUA